UGAGUUUAAUUAGGGUUGCUCACAGG
rnacentral:piRNA from 1 species